rnacentral:rRNA from 1 species
GACGAACGCUGGCGGCGUGCUUAGCACAUGCGAGUCGAACGGAAAGGCCCUGCUUUUGUGGGGUGCUCGAGUGGCGAACGGGUGAGUAACACGUGAGUAACCUGCCCUUGACUUUGGGAUAACUUCAGAAAACUGGGGCUAAUACCGGAUAGGAGCUCCUGCUGCAUGGUGGGGGUUGGAAAGUUUCGGCGGUUGGGGAUGGACUCGCGGCUUAUCAGCUUGUUGGUGGGGUAGUGGCUUACCAAGGCUUUGACGGGUAGCCGGCCUGAGAGGGUGACCGGCCACAUUGGGACUGAGAUACGGCCCAGACUCCUACGGGAGGCAGCAGUGGGGAAUAUUGCACAAUGGGCGGAAGCCUGAUGCAGCAACGCCGCGUGCGGGAUGACGGCCUUCGGGUUGUAAACCGCUUUCGCCUGUGACGAAGCGUGAGUGACGGUAAUGGGUAAAGAAGCACCGGCUAACUACGUG